rnacentral:misc_RNA from 1 species
CAGAGUUAUCCAACUCCCAAACCCAUGUGAACUUAUCCCUUUGUUGCCUCGGCGCAAGCUACCCGGGACCUCGCGCCCCGGGCGGCCCGCCGGCGGACAAACCAAAACUCUUGUUAUCUUAGUUGAUUAUCUGAGUGUCUUAUUUAAUAAGUCA